ACUGCUCCAAGGCCGCGAUGCUCGUUACACACAGAAUGGGAACCAUUCCUGUUCACGAGCGGGAAGGUCUGAGUGUUCUUGCUUCUUUCGACUGUGCACCCGGACGUUCCGCACUGGGACCAUGCCAGAUAUUACUUCCUUCUUUCCCUUAACUAGGGCCGAUAUCAACCAUGUCGAAGAUGUACCAGAAAUCCACCACAUCCGUUGCCUUGCUUCUUCUGAUGACAAGGUUCUAAGACCUACGAGAGAAGGAUCGAUGGUUUGAAAAGCAUCCCAGAAACAGAAUGUGUUUAUCCUAUUCCAUGACGUUCAUUACCGCUAGCGCGUUGGUGUAUUCAUCGAGUCCACCAACGCAUGUGGAGGUUUCUUUGAUCAAGUCGAGUCUAACGCUAUCAACUUGUGAUUGUACGGACGAUGCAAUUGCAAGCGAGGGCGAACCGAUAUUGGGAUAUCCUUACGUGUAUUUCCACCGAUUAGGUCAGAGAAAUCCGACCGUGCACAUCGGCAGGAAAUUAGAGGAUGCAUGUGUUCACCAUCCCCUCGAAGGUGCUCGUUACCCAUUCAAUCAGAAGCUGGCAUAAGCAUCCUUCCCUAGUACUGCCGAUGUUAGGCUCUAGGUCUUGGCCUCUUAUCUGUCGGUGAACGGCAUGCUUUGCCCGGAUGACCUUACUUGGUUCACCUUGCAAUUUGCGGCGCGUGUGCUUUGCAUGCGAAACUCAACUCAGACUAUUCUGGGGCAGU
rnacentral:RNase_P_RNA from 2 species